rnacentral:rRNA from 1 species
CCUACGGGAGACAGCAGUGAGGAAUAUUGGUCAAUGGACGAGAGUCUGAACCAGCCAAGUAGCGUGAAGGAUGACUGCCCUAUGGGUUGUAAACUUCUUUUAUAUGGGAAUAAAAUGUUCCACGUGUGGGAUUUUGUAUGUACCAUAUGAAUAAGGAUCGGCUAACUCCGUGCCAGCAGCCGCGGUAAUACGGAGGAUCCGAGCGUUAUCCGGAUUUAUUGGGUUUAAAGGGAGCGUAGGUGGAUUGUUAAGUCAGUUGUGAAAGUUUGCGGCUCAACCGUAAAAUUGCAGUUGAAACUGGCAGUCUAGAGUACAGUAGAGGUGGGCGGAAUUCGUGGUGUAGCGGUGAAAUGCUUAGAUAUCACGAAGAACUCCGAUUGCGAAGGCAGCUCACUGGACUGCAACUGACACUGAGGCUCGAAAGUGUAGGUAUCAAACAGGAUUAGAUACCCCUGUAGUC